CUUCUCCACCAGCUGCACAGAGUUCUGCUGUGUUAUGUUAGUGCAAGUUGGAUAAGCAGUUUUGCCCCAGAGGCUUCAUAGAGGAGGGGUAUGUUUGAUCAGACUUUAAGCUCUUUGUGGGUGCUACUGAGAUUGACAGCUGCAUACGCUC